AGGGUUUGAUCAUGGCUCAGGAUGAACGCCGGCGGUGUGCCUAAUACAUGCAAGUCGAACGCGUUGGCCCAACUGAUUGAACGUGCUUGCACGGACUUGACGUUGGUUUACCAGCGAGUGGCGGACGGGUGAGUAACACGUAGGUAACCUGCCCCAAAGCGGGGGAUAACAUUUGGAAACAGAUGCUAAUACCGCAUAACAAUUUGAAUCGCAUGAUUCAAAUUUAAAAGAUGGCUUCGGCUAUCACUUUGGGAUGGACCUGCGGCGCAUUAGCUUGUUGGUAGGGUAACGGCCUACCAAGGCUGUGAUGCGUAGCCGAGUUGAGAGACUGAUCGGCCACAAUGGAACUGAGACACGGUCCAU
rnacentral:rRNA from 1 species